GACGAACGCUGGCGGCGUGCUUAACACAUGCAAGUCGAACGGAAAGGCCCUGCUUUUGUGGGGUGCUCGAGUGGCGAACGGGUGAGUAACACGUGAGUAACCUGCCCUUGACUUUGGGAUAACUUCAGGAAACUGGGGCUAAUACCGGAUAGGAGCUCCUGCUGCAUGGUGGGGGUUGGAAAGUUUCGGCGGUUGGGGAUGGACUCGCGGCUUAUCAGCUUGUUGGAGGGGUAGUGGCUUACCAAGGCUUUGAGGGGUAGCCGGCCUGAGAGGGUGACCGGCCACAUUGGGACUGAGAUACGGCCCAGACUCCUACGGGAGGCAGCAGUGGGGAAUAUUGCACAAUGGGCGGAAGCCUGAUGCAGCAACGCCGCGUGCGGGAUGACGGCCUUCGGGUUGUAAACCGCUUUCGCCUGUGACGAAGCGUGAGUGACGGUAAUGGGUAAAGAAGCACCGGCUAACUACGUG
rnacentral:rRNA from 1 species